rnacentral:SRP_RNA from 1 species
GCUGGGUGUGGUGGAGCAUGCCUGUAGUCCCAGCUACUUGGGAGGCUGAGGUGGGAGAAUCACUUGAGCCUAGGAGGUCAAGGCUGCAGUGAGCCGUUUGCACCACUGCACUCUAGCCUGGGUGACUGAGGGAGACCCUGCCUCAA